rnacentral:rRNA from 1 species
GAACGCUGGCGGCGUGCCUAACACAUGCAAGUCGAGCGGAGAUGAUGUGAGGAAGUUUUCGGAUGGAAUCACAUUAUUUAGCGGCGGACGGGUGAGUAACGCGUGAGCGACCAACCUUGCACAGGGGGAUAACGGACCGAAAGGUUCACUAAUACCGCAUGAGACCACGGUGUUGCAUGACACAGGGGUCAAAGGAGCAAUCCGGUGCAAGACGGGCUCGCGUCCGAUUAGGUAGUUGGUGGGGUAAUGGCCCACCAAGCCUAUGAUCGGUAGCCGACCUGAGAGGGUGAUCGGCCACAUUGGAACUGAGAUACGGUCCAAACUCCUACGGGAGGCAGCAGUGGGGAGUAUUGGGCAAAUGGGGGAAACCCUGACCCAGCAACGCCGCGUGAAGGAAGAAGGUUUUCGGAUUGUAAACUUCUGUCCUUGGUGAAGAGAAGAAGACGGUAGCCAAGGAGGAAGCCCCGGCUAACUACGUGCCAGCCGCCGC